rnacentral:rRNA from 1 species
UACGUAGGGCGCAAGCGUUAUCCGGAAUUAUUGGGCGUAAAGAGCUCGUAGGCGGUUUGUCGCGUCUGCCGUGAAAGUCCGGGGCUCAACUCCGGAUCUGCGGUGGGUACGGGCAGACUAGAGUGAUGUAGGGGGAGACUGGAAUUCCUGGUGUAGCGGUGAAAUGCGCAGAUAUCAGGAGGAACACCGAUGGCGAAGGCAGGGUCUCCUGGGCAUUAACUGACGCUGAGGAGCGAAAGCAUGGGGAGCGAACAGG